UACGGAGGGUGCAAGCGUUAUCCGGAUUUAUUGGGUUUAAAGGGUCCGUAGGCGGGCCCGUAAGUCAGUGGUGAAAUCUCGCAGCUUAACUGCGAAACUGCCAUUGAUACUGCGGGUCUUGAGUGAAUUUGAAGUGGCUGGAAUAAGUAGUGUAGCGGUGAAAUGCAUAGAUAUUACUUAGAACACCGAUUGCGAAGGCAGGUCACUAAGAUUCAACUGACGCUGAGGGACGAAAGCGUGGGGAGCGAACAGG
rnacentral:rRNA from 1 species